GGAAAGACUAGGCCAGACCUUAGCACCCCCUGUCAGGGACUUCCUGCUGGUUAAUCCUGCUUCCUCUGCCAGCAGGAAGUCAGCUAGCAAAGAAGCCCCAAUGAUAUAGUCUACAGCAGGCAGCCUGCCAGGGUGCAGAGCAGGGUAGAAAAUGGAUCGGAAGGGCAAAGGUGAGGUAGAGUUGGGAGACUUACCUGAGGUCACAUAGUCAGCUUCACCUGAUUGUCAGGAAAGUAACCCUGUGAACCCUAGCUGGGGAGAAGAACCUAAAGGCAAGAGAGAGAACCGUUCUAUAGGACCCGGGAGGAUUUGCCAUCAUCUGAAGGAAGACUGAAUCUUGUCUGCUCUGGGGAGGCACGGAGGAGCCUGUGACUUGUGAGUUCCAGUAAUCAUUGUACAUCUCUGCUUCUGCCUUUGCCAAUGAGCCUGAUUUUAGGCAGAGAAAGAAGAUUCUGCCUAACAAAGUAGAGACAGGUAUCCUGGAGUUCAUGAAAGACGUGUAGCUGAUUCAGCGCUGCCCUUGAAGUAAACCUGACCAUCUCAUUUCCAACUUCUUUUUGGAUGAAGUCUAACUCAAGAU
rnacentral:lncRNA from 10 species